rnacentral:rRNA from 1 species
CGAAAGCCUGACGGAGCAACGCCGCGUGAGGGAUGAAGGCCUCUGGGCUGUAAACCUCUUUUCUCAAGGAAGAAGAUCUGACGGUACUUGAGGAAUAAGCCACGGCUAAUUCCGUGCCAGCAGCCGCGGUAAUACGGGAGUGGCAAGCGUUAUCCGGAAUUAUUGGGCGUAAAGCGUCCGCAGGCGGUCUUUCAAGUCUGCUGUUAAAGCGUGGAGCUUAACUCCAUCAUGGCAGUGGAAACUGUUGGGCUUGAGUGUGGUAGGGGCAGAGGGAAUUCCCGGUGUAGCGGUGAGAUGCGUAGAUAUCGGGAAGAACACCAGUGGCGAAGGCGCUCUGCUGGGCCAUAACUGACGCUCAUGGACGAAAGCCAGGGGAGCG